GACGAACGCUGGCGGCGUGCUUAACACAUGCAAGUCGAGCGGAAAGGCCCUUCGGGGUACUCGAGCGGCGAACGGGUGAGUAACACGUGAGUAACCUGCCCCAGACUUUGGGAUAACCCUCGGAAACGGGGGCUAAUACCGGAUACGACACAGCUUCGCAUGGGGUCUGUGUGGAAAGUUUUUCGGUUUGGGAUGGGCUCGCGGCCUAUCAGCUUGUUGGUGGGGUGAUGGCCUACCAAGGCGACGACGGGUAGCCGGCCUGAGAGGGCGACCGGCCACACUGGGACUGAGACACGGCCCAGACUCCUACGGGAGGCAGCAGUGGGGAAUAUUGCACAAUGGGCGGAAGCCUGAUGCAGUGACGCCGCGUGAGGGAUGACGGCCUUCGGGUUGUAAACCUCUUUCAGCAGGGACGAAGCGUAAGUGACGGUACCUGCAGAAGAAGCGCCGGCCAACUACGUG
rnacentral:rRNA from 1 species